rnacentral:rRNA from 1 species
UACGUAGGGACCAAGCGUUGUUCGGAUUUACUGGGCGUAAAGGGCGCGUAGGCGGCGUGUUAAGUCACUUGUGAAAUCUCUAAGCUUAACUUAGAACGGUCAAGUGAUACUGAUGUGCUGGAGUGCAGAAGGGGCAACCGGAAUUCUUGGUGUAGCGGUGAAAUGCGUAGAUAUCAAGAGGAACACCUGAGGUGAAGACGGGUUGCUGGGCUGACACUGACGCUGAGGCGCGAAAGCUAGGGUAGCAAACGGG